rnacentral:rRNA from 1 species
CUACGGGGUGCUCCAGUGGGGAAUAUUGCACAAUGGGGGAAACCCUGAUGCAGCAACGCCGCGUGAGUGAUGACGGCCUUCGGGUUGUAAAGCUCUGUCUUCAGGGACGAUAAUGACGGUACCUGAGGAGGAAGCCACGGCUAACUACGUGCCAGCAGCCGCGGUAAUACGUAGGUGGCGAGCGUUGUCCGGAUUUACUGGGCGUAAAGGGAGCGUAGGCGGACUUUUAAGUGAGAUGUGAAAUACCCGGGCUCAACCUGGGUGCUGCAUUUCAAACUGGAAGUCUAGAGUGCAGGAGAGGAGAAGGGAAUUCCUAGUGUAGCGGUGAAAUGCGUAGAGAUUAGGAAGAACACCAGUGGCGAAGGCGCUUCUCUGGACUGUAACUGACGCUGAGGCUCGAAAGCGUGGGGAGCAAACAGGAUUAGAUACCCCAGUAGUC